AUUGAACGCUGGCGGCAGGCCUAACACAUGCAAGUCGAGCGGAUGAAGGGAGCUUGCUCCUGGAUUCAGCGGCGGACGGGUGAGUAAUGCCUAGGAAUCUGCCUGGUAGUGGGGGAUAACGUCCGGAAACGGGCGCUAAUACCGCAUACGUCCUGAGGGAGAAAGUGGGGGAUCUUCGGUCCUCACGCUAUCAGAUGAGCCUAGGUCGGAUUAGCUAGUUGGUGGGGUAAAGGCCUACCAAGGCGACGAUCCGUAACUGGUCUGAGAGGAUGAUCAGUCACACUGGAACUGAGACACGGUCCAGACUCCUACGGGAGGCAGCAGUGGGGAAUAUUGGACAAUGGGCGAAAGCCUGAUCCAGCCAUGCCGCGUGUGUGAAGAAGGUCUUCGGAUUGUAAAGCACUUUAAGUUGGGAGGAAGGGCAGUAAGUUAAUACCUUGCUGUUUUGACGUUACCAACAGAAUAAGCACCGGCUAACUUCGU
rnacentral:rRNA from 1 species